AGUGAGAGGACGAACGCCAUUAGAGCAAGAAGUACUACUAAGCUCACAUCUCAUACUCUACAGAGAUGCAGUGUUCGAGCACGGCCGUUGCUUCUUGCUUGCGUCUGCUUGCGACCAUUUUUCUUUUUUUCCUCCUUGCAUUAAUGGCUGGUCGCUGCACUCGCAGCAAUUGGAUCAUAUUCAGCUCAGCAGAAUUGCAGGCUCCAUCGAAGACCUCACUCACGUGGUACAAGAGCUUUCGGAGAACGUCACCUCGGAAUCGGGAAGGUUUCGGAGGACGUCACAGCAGGAAUCGGGAAGCUUUCGGACGUCACAGCAGGAAUCGGGAAGCUUUCGGAGAACGUCACCUCAGGAAUCGGGAAAAUGUUCAACUUAUUGGCCAUAGAUCAUCUUUACUGUGAAUAUGGUUGGGUGAAGCUGAGAUCCUCCUGUUACUUCCUUGGCAAAGACAAAAGCAACUGGGAACAGAGCCGUGAGAAAUGCUUAGCCUUGGAUUCCGACUUGGUCACAAUCACUCGCGAUGAGGAGUACAACUUCCUCCGUGAUCUUGCAAAAGGUCAUGACACCUAUGUGGGACUGAGUGACCUGCAGGAAGAAGGGACCUACAGAUGGGUUGCAGAUGGCACCAUCCACCAAAUCGUUGAAUCAUGGUGGGCUGAAGGCGAGCCCAACAACCAAGGUUCACGAGAACACUGUGUCCAUUUUCAAUCCAAAGACGGUCGCUUCAAUGAUCACGUUGUUACAUAUAAGUUCACAUAUAUCUGCGAGAAACCUGCCCAACUGGAUAGGAACUCUGCUUCAGUGCCAGAAUAAUGAAAAUGCCCACAGACAAUGAA